AUUGAACGCUGGCGGCAGGCCUAACACAUGCAAGUCGUACGAGUGGCGGACGGGUGAGUAAUGUCUGGGAAACUGCCUGAUGGCGGGGGAUAACUACUGGAAACUGUAGCUAAUACCGCAUACCAUCAGAUGUGCCUAGAUGGGAUUAGCUAGUUGGUGGGGUAACGGCCCACCAAGGCGACGAGCCCUACUUGGUCUGAGAGGAUGAUCAGCCACACUGGAACUGAGACACGGUCCAGACUCCUACGGGAGGCAGCAGUGGGGAAUAUUGCACAAUGGGCGAAAGCCUGAUGCAGCCAUGCAGCGUGUAUGAAGAAGGUCUUCGGAUUGUAAAGAACUUUCAGCUGGGAGGCGUUACCAACAGAAUACGCACCGGCUAACUCCGUGCCAGCAGCCGCGGUAAUAG
rnacentral:rRNA from 1 species